rnacentral:rRNA from 1 species
UACGUAGGGUGCAAGCGUUAAUCGGAAUUACUGGGCGUAAAGCGUGCGCAGGCGGUUAUGUAAGACAGUUGUGAAAUCCCCGGGCUCAACCUGGGAACUGCAUCUGUGACUUCAUAGCUAGAGUACGGUAGGGGGGGACGGAAUUCCGCGUGUAGCAGUGAAAUGCGUAGAUAUGCGGAGGAACACCGAUGGCGAAGGCAAUCCCCUGGACCUGUACUGACGCUCAUGCACGAAAGCGUGGGGAGCAAACAGG